AAAAUCUCGCUUCAGCUUUGAAGAUCAGAGAUCUGCAAGUUGAAGUUCAAAGCCUUAAUGAAAUCCUAUCAAAAUUAAAUACUGAGAAAGAAACUGCCGCUCUUCAACACCAGCUUUCCCUUGAAAGAAUAUCUGCCUUGGAGACCGAAAUUUCUCACACAGAAGGAGACUUAAAGAAGCUUAAGGAUGAGGCGCUGAUAACAGUGGCGAAACUGAACACCAG
rnacentral:misc_RNA from 1 species